CACGUAGGGCGCAAGCGUUGUCCGGAAUUAUUGGGCGUAAAGAGCUCGUAGGCGGUCUGUUGCGUCCGCUGUGAAAACUCGGGGCUUAACCCCGAGCCUGCAGUGGAUACGGGCAGACUAGAGGUAGGUAGGGGAGAAUGGAAUUCCCGGUGUAGCGGUGAAAUGCGCAGAUAUCGGGGGGAACACCGGUGGCGAAGGCGGUUCUCUGGGCCUUACCUGACGCUGAGGAGCGAAAGCGUGGGGAGCGAACAGG
rnacentral:rRNA from 1 species